rnacentral:rRNA from 1 species
AUUGAACGCUGGCGGCAGGCCUAACACAUGCAAGUCGAACGAGUGGCGGACGGGUGAGUAAUGUCUGGGAAACUGCCCGAUGGAGGGGGAUAACUACUGGAAACGGUAGCUAAUACCGCCUACCAUCGGAUGUGCCCAGAUGGGAUUAGCUUGUAGGUGAGGUAACGGCUCACCUAGGCGACGAUCCCUAGCUGGUCUGAGAGGAUGACCAGACACACGGGAACUGAGACACGGGCCAGAUGCCGCCGGGAGGCAGAAGUGGGGAAUAUUGCACAAGGGGGGAAAGCCUGAUGCAGUAAGGCCGAGUGUAUGAAGAAGGACUGCGGGUUGUAAAGUAAUGGCAGCGGGGAGGCGUUACACGCAGAAGAAGCACCGGAUAACGCCGGGCCAGCCGCCGCGGUAAUUC